CUUGUGAGGCAAUAAAACGAAGGCAUAGUCAUCUCUCACACCCAACUGCAGACCCCGGUACCCGUACGGCGCACCGUGUGUGUUCCAUAGUGCACCAUUUUCCACCUUGCUACGUACUAAGCUCUCAGCAACUUGUCAGCGUUCGGGCGUGUCGAUAGUGGUGGCAGAGUUUAACCACUUUCAUCCGAUCAUAGUUUGAAUUUGGAAAUAAAAGAUAUGGCAUUCCGGUGGACUUCGGUUUUUGCACUUCUAUGCAUGGCCAUCUGCGUUUCGGCAGCGGAGGAACCUUCGUAUCGACUAGCUGAGCUCUCGGCAGCCGUUGGGGGCGUGGUCGGUGGCCUAAUGCUAGUCAUUGGUAUCUCAUUCGUCAUCUACGACUUCACCUGUCGGAAUUACUUUAGCGGCAGGGCAGGAGAGUAUUUCAGAGCGGAUGAAGAGGUGGCGGCUGGAAACUCAACGAAACUGUAAUCUGAUUGUAUUGAAGAAUUUUAUUGACAGUGAUAGAUGAAACGAAACAAACCUUAUCUUCCGGAUGCACUAGCCACUGCUCAGAAUAGCAGUAUUUUUAAUGGAAAUUUUUUAAAAACGAGAACAACGUGUUUUAGUAUGCUGUACAUGUACAUGGAUUUGACUUGUAUAUAACCUUUUUAGUCUCAAUUUUAAACUAAAAUGCAAACUAAGGCAACAAGGAAGUACGAGUGCAGUGAAAAAUCAUGUCACUGUGUAUCCUUGGUAUCGAUCAAAACACCUGGUACAGUGUACUUCUGUUCAUUAUUUCAACUUCAGAAUAAAAUCCUGUGUACUGACAUUAGAAUUUAAGAAUUAACAUUUUUGAAAAAAAAAGCAUGAAAACGAAUCAUGGAUAUGAGAGGGAUAAUACACUAACAGUGACUGGUACUUUGGAAACAUCGACACUUCCCUGUAUACAUGAAUUAUUGGUUUAAUUGUUAGCACGUAUACGGCAUUGACAGAAAACAACACACAGUGCAAGUAUAAGCCUUUUAAUAAAAAAACUAGAAUAAUCCAGUAUAUGUAUAGCUUUUGUAAGGAAUGUUUGUAAAAUUUUAACUGGAUUAAUUUUGUGGUUGUCUGUGCAUGUAGAUGUUGGGUGUAUUACACAAACUCUAAUGCUCUUUUUUUAAAUUGAACAAAGAGUGGUUUAUUUGGAGUAGUUUAUAUUUGAGUCUUGUCUUGUGUAGCGUAGGUUUUAAUGAUU